CCAAUAGCGUAUAUUAAAGUUGUUGCAGUUAAAAAGCUCGUAGUUGAAUUUCGGGAUCAAUAUGUCGGUCGUGCUUCGGUACGUACUGGCGUUAUUGGUUUCUCCCUUCUGAAGAACCGCGAUGUCAUUAAUUUGGUGUCGUGGGGAAUCAGGACUGUUACUUUGAAAAAAUUAGAGUGUUUAAAGCAGGCUCGCGCUUGAAUACAUUAGCAUGGAAUAAUGAAAUAGGACGUCUGAUUCUAUUUUGUUGGUUUUUAGGAUCGACGUAAUGAUUAAUAGGGAUAGUUGGGGGCAUUAGUAUUCAAUUGUCAGAGGUGAAAUUCUUGGAUUUAUUGAAGACUAACUACUGCGAAAGCAUUUGCCAAGGAUGUUUUCAUUAAUCAAGAACGAAAGUUAGGGGAUCGAAGACGAUCAGAUACCGUCGUAGUCUUAACCAUAAACUAUGCCGACUAGGGAUCGGAUGAUGUUAAUUUUUUAAUGACUCAUUCGGCGCCUUACG
rnacentral:rRNA from 1 species